GGCUGAUCCUUGUGGGAAACCCUUUUGAUGCUGACUUCAGUAGCAUAUGGACCAAGCUUUUAAGAGGUGUGGCCCCUGAUGUGAGGCACGGUGAUUUUUGCGUAGCUUUUCCCAGCUUGCCCAUCAUGAGCUGCAGAAAUGAUCCUGCAGUGCUCAGGGCCUAGGAGCGAUGAAUAAGUUACUCACCGACAAAGGUGAGAGCAUCAUGUGGAGGAAAUGGGAGUAAUGACUUGUGCUGGUGGAAAAGCCAUCUGUUGGACAUGCCUACUUUGUGCCAGGACCGCCUGGCCUGGCCUGCCCUUCCCUAGGCUGACUCUUUACAUCUGAUGGGUCUGAAGAGCAGCAGAAUGGAAGUGACUGUUUUAAUAAGCACUAGGAACUUGCUGGAUUUUGUUACACUUCCUUUUGAGCAAGCGCUUCCGCAAGUUGGGAGUGGGCGAAACCCGGUUUCCUACAGCUCUGUGCCUUGUGGUUUGCUUCACUGGUGCCUGCGACAGAGCAGGUGAUGACUGACGUGGCUUCUGUGCUUGAGAGACAUCCUGAAGACUUCAUGUGUGAACCUCCAUGCCCUUUUCCUUGGCCAUGGAUGCAGCUCUCCCUCCUGUUGCCAGCUGCCAGCUUGAGAAACUUCUAGGAAAUUGCUGUCUUUGAAAACUCAGUACUCGGGAAAUUUGGCUUAGUUUGGUGAUGGGGCAGUGGGAGGAUGGAUGGGAACAAAUGCAUGAAGAAGCCCAUGGCUGCAUCAACCUCUUUUCUUUAGGAAACUAAAAAUUGGGCUAAAUGCUUUUUCUCUCUCUUUUUUUUUUUUUUUCCUUUUCUUCUGACCAUGUGGGCUAUCUCCAUUUAUAAGAGCACCCAAUUCCAUCUCUACCAGCAUUUUUAAGCUGCUAGUCUGAAAUUUUUCAGUGAGGACGGUCUGUCCAGGGCAUGCACUUUCAGGUGGCCACCACCUGAGUUUCAGGGAGGGGAUACAUGGCAACUUCACAAGCUAGGGCAGAAAGUCCUCGUGUCAGUAUCCUACAGCAAGGCCACCUGCGUGCCAGGUGGAUGGACAGGGACAGAGCCUCCAGUGACCAGCUGAGUAUUAAUAUGGGGCUUGGGCAAAACCAGACUGCUCCAUGGCUUCACAGGGUGCCCAGAAGCUGCUAUGUAGGCAAGCGUAAGGACAGGUAGCUGCCCCCAGAGGGUCAGGUGUUGCUUGCCUGCAUGCUCAGCAAGCUGUCUUUCAGAUAAAUGCCCGGAUUUGUGUGUGGCAGCAAGCAUUUAUUUCCCUAGUCGCUGAGUGCUAUUAUUUGUUGAUCAUUAUUCAUAUUUUUCCUUUCAAAGGGCCUCAGUCAGAGAUUACAAAAGCAGAAAUAAUGCUUUCCUGACAAAACAAAUUGAAUGAAUUAUAAACAGUUGAACAAAACUGCUUGCAAUCAGUUGAGGAUAAAAGCUGUUUUGACACCCCUGUGGUAGAAGGAGCUGAAUGCUGAACACAUUCUUAGAAAGCAAGACUGUCUCACAAAUGAGGUACAGACAGCAAAAUAUUUGCAAAUAAUUUCCUUUCAUUCUUCUCAAUAAUUCAUUUUAAAAGUCUCUAGGGCCCUGCUUCUACAGCUUCAGCAGCUGUAAGCCAAACUCUCUGAGUCCUUUUUAAGGAUUCAGAUGCAGGCAGCUUGGGAGCCUAUGAUUUAUAAUUCAGCAAAGGAACCAUACAGGUGCAUUUCAUGUGGUUUGGUAGCCUAGGGCUCAUGUAACUGCUUUACCACCAUAACUGCUUCUACACCAGCGGUAGUUUAACUGUAUCAGUGCAGCUAUAGUGGUACAAAACUUGCGUGGCUCUUGGCAGUGGCUAUCUCCCUUUUAGAUGUGAAUUAAAUGUUCUUUUGAGCAAGACCAUGAUGCUAGGACCACCUGAACCUACAGCUCUCAGACAGUGGUUGCCUAUAUUGAAGGCUCUGCAGCACUAUGUGAAGUUUGCCACUGGAGACAGGGAAACAGAUGAGCAUAAUACUUUCAGCAGCGAAAUAGGUAUUUGCAUCUUAUUUAUUUAUUUAUUUAUUUCCCAGUGAAAUAUCCAAAGGGCUAUUCUCACUUCUCUGUCUUAGGAGACAGAAGUUCAGAGAAGAACAAAGUGGUACUUGCUGACAGAAAAAACACCUUCUGUGGCCCGGGUUUGGCCGUCCUCUUGAGCAUGUAUGUUGAGGGGGUGAGCAGUUUACAUGCUUUUGUUCAAAAAGCUCAUGUUCAAAGCCUUUGCUGGAUUACAGAGACUGCACACAACGUGAUGUUAACAGAGUUUCCUUUGCUGUGAGUGCUCCUUGAAGAGCUGCUUGCUGCCAUAUUACAUCUACUAAAAUGCCAUCAGCCCUGUCAACAGGCAUACCUCACCAGUGGUGGGUAGGAAAUGCAUACAUUUACUGUACCAAUAGUUUAUUUUGUGGUGCUUUGUCUGUUUGCAAGUCUUCCUUGUCCUUUUCCUUUUGCAAGGCGGUUGCCCAGGAUGUUGGACUGUAUAACAAAGGCCACUUAAGCCAUCUCUCACUGCUGUAAGUAAUGGAAUUAGGAUUGGUGUAGGCUGGAAAAAAAAAAAAAGUAGGCUAGAAAAAGAUUGGUAACUUGCUCUAAAUGCAGUUGUUUUUCUUGUAAACUGAAAAAAAGGAGGAGGCAGCUGGGAUCUCUAGCACUGUCUAUCAGAUAUGACUCCUUUAUACAUCCUUUGAUGUAUGUUGAGCAGUGCUAAUCUAGUUGAGGAUCAGACACAGGGGUCUUUCUUCAGUGCAACAAUAAUCCCAUUAUUUUAUGCUGGUGAUGCCUGUGUUGUGGCCUAAUUUGACCUCCUGUCAGAUAUAUAGCUCUAUGAAUAUCUCAUUAUGGUUCUUUUCCCACACCCUGUUACCUUUUAACAGGGGAUAAUGGUAUAGGUUAAAUAUUCUGUACAUAUUCUAAUUGUAGGAGAUUGUACCAUUAAGCUUGUAUAGUGGUUGAUUUGUUUUUUUGGCUUUGUGUAAUUCAAAUCUAUUUUAUUUUCCUCAUAUGAAAGCUCAAAUGGAUAUUGGCUGGAGCAUAGCAAGAAAAAAUAUUUGGAUAUUACCUAGGAAAAUGAAUGACAUUGCAAAACUCCUUACAUUUGUAACUGGAAUGAAAUAGUUUUGGUUUUCACACUUCUCUUCACUUUCAUAAAAAAAAAACAAAAAACAACAACAAAAAAACCAGCAGCUGCUAUUCACAUUGCCGUGAGUUGCAUCAAGCAGAACUGGCAAACGUGCUCCUCAGCAUAAAAUCACAAAUGCCAAUCAUGUUUUUUCACAGGGAGGAAUGAAAUCAGCUGGUUUUGGGGAAAGCAGUUGGAAAAGACUCUUAGUUCUUUUUUCCUUUCUCUGAUUAUUAUCUAGGCCAGAAAGAAAAAGUACUGUUUGUCCCUAGAGAGCCAAUGGUUUUGGACGUUAGUGCUCAUCUUUAUUACUUCCCAGUAGAAGCAGAUGCAAUUUAGUAGCACAAAAUAUGAAGCUCCCUACUUGAAGAGAAUAGGAGAAACUUUUACUGUUGCUGGCACACAAAGGAAGAAAGAGACUUAGGUCUGUACGAGGAUGCCAUAAACCACCACUAUGACACUGAGUUGGAAGAGAAGAUAGUGAUUAAUCUGACUUACUGGGUGAGGGCUUUUCUGAGUAGAAACAGGGCAAUAUUGGUCCAUAUCUACACGCAUUCUUCAAUGAAAUAUUUUAUAUAGCUUUGAUGACCCAUGCUUCACAACAGUUAAUUAAUUAAACUGUAACAGGUGCUACUCGUGAGAAGAAUGGCGUGCCAUCCUGAGGAAAAACCAUGGAAAGGCACUGGUUUUGGAAAUGGAGAAAUGAAGGUUGGAAUAAGAUAUGAUGGCUCUUUAUAAAUGUAUUUUUAGGAACAGGGAGAGGACAUAAAUCAUAGAGGGAGAAGAGGUACUUAAGUUAAGUGACACUAUUGGCACAAACCCAAUUGGCUAGAAAUUUGUCAUGAGGGAAUUACUUAAAAAACUAGUAAGUCCAUUCAAAGAAUGAAGUUCUGGAUCAGUCUCUCAAGCAAUGUAAUGAGGACAAGGACUUAAUUCAUUUUUUUAAAAACAGAAUGUACUGUUAUUGAAGUGAUUGUGCUGCAGAGGAUUUUAGUAACAGACAAUAAGAUAUUUCUUCAGACAACAAUGAACUAGCAAGUCCAAAUGGAUCAGAAAGAAGGCUGAUUGGAAAGAUGACUUUGCAUUCUCCUAUAUUAAAUCCAUGCCCGGGUGCCUGUACAGGAAGGAUGCAGGAGCCAGGGAAAAAAACCCUUUCCCUGCUCCACCCUGCAGAUUGGCUACAGAUUGGUUGUGGCAGGAGGUACAUCUAAGUGAAAAUCUGAUACUGUUCAAACCUCUGCUGGAGGGAAGGAGCACCCUGUUUGUGUCACUAGGUUAACUAGUCCCUGGAUUUAGAGCUGAGAAAGAAGUUUCCUGCCAGCUGAGAGAGCAGUGCUUCCCUCCUUCCCUUGUCCCAUGGGGAUAGGGCAUGGUCGUCUUCCAAGGUCUGCAUGGGAGCUCAUGCUGAUAGCCUCCUUCUACCGUGAAUAAGGAGAAAGUGGCAUUUUCAGGCACAUUUUCAGUGAUGCAUCUGACCUAUUUCACACAUUGACUUCAGGAUGAGAUGAAGAGUGCCCCAGAAUUUCAUAUCCCUUUUUGUUGCCCAUACUAGGAGUCAAGAUGGGUAGCUAUAAUCCAGAAGAAUCUUUUUGUCCUGAGGACAGGGUAUGGCAAGGGGAAGGAUUUUUUUUUUUUUUUUUCUCAGAAUAUCUCGUUGCUUUGAUGAGUUUUCCUAGGGAAACAAGCAUUUGUUUAAAAUGGGAGGAAUUAAGUUCUUCAAAUCAUCAGUUUCCUUGGCUAUUUAAAACUGCCAUCAGCUCUCAACCCAUCAGUACUUUGAUUGGCAUCAGGGAGGGCUUUACCACCAACCUUUAUGGAAGAAGAACUGAGGUAACAUGAAAGCACUUUGGUGUCUGUGUGUCUGCAUGUGGUUAGCAUUGCAAAACAAGACAGCAACGCUUGCAGCUUUCCUGAGAUGUACUGAUUUACAUCAUGAUAUGCUGCCCAGUUACUAUGGGGACCUUUAACAGCACUUUCCUUUUUUGAUUAUGGUGGAUCUUACACAUGUGAAUGUUUGUUUGUGUGUGUACGUGACAUGCAUGUGUAAGCAUCUACUGUGGGAUGGGAAGAGGAAAUGCAUUUUGUUUGUCAUUUAAAGAGGAGCUGUUUUUUUUUUCUUUCUCAUAGGAAGCAAUCUCGCUUUGCAAGCAUAUUUCUUUUAAGUGCGCAUGCUGGAAAUGUUUGUACUUUGCUUCCAAAAACUAAGCUACUGAGAAUGUAAUAUCAAUUAUACAAUACCCAUAUGUCUGCAUUAUCAUUUGAACUGUUGUGGAAAUUAUAUAUAUAUAAAAAAUUAACUUCAGGUGCAGUAACUUUAUUUCAGAGGUGUCUGAGAGGUGCAAGAUUAUGUUCUGGCAUCACUGAGGUUGAAAGUAACUGGAGUGGAAACAAGAAGAUUACUUAUGUCUCAACUAUAGCAAUGAAAAUUAUGAAUUAAAGCAAUCUGGAAACCUC